rnacentral:rRNA from 1 species
UACGGGGGGAGCAAGCGUUGUUCGGAAUCACUGGGCGUAAAGGGAGUCUAGGCGGUUUGGUAAGUGGGAUGUGAAAUGCCGGGGCUCAACCCCGGGACUGCGUCCGAUACUUCCGAGCUGGAGGUAGGUAGGGGAGAUCGGAAUUCCUGGUGUAGCGGUGAAAUGCGCAGAUAUCAGGAGGAACACCGGUGGCGAAGGCGGUUCUCUGGGCAUGAUCUGACGCUGAGGAGCGAAAGUGUGGGGAGCGAACCGG